rnacentral:rRNA from 1 species
UACGUAGGGCGCAAGCGUUGUCCGGAAUUAUUGGGCGUAAAGAGCUCGUAGGCGGUUUGUCGCGUCUGCUGUGAAAACCUAAGGCUCAACCUUGGGCUUGCAGUGGGUACGGGCAGACUAGAGUGCGGUAGGGGUGACUGGAAUUCCUGGUGUAGCGGUGGAAUGCGCAGAUAUCAGGAGGAACACCAAUGGCGAAGGCAGAUCUCUGGGCCGUAACUGACGCUGAGGAGCGAAAGCAUGGGGAGCGAACAGG